GUCGCACUAACUAAGAUUUGUUAAGAACUUUAACUUAACAGUAAUCAAAAUUUGAAGGUUCUGCUUACUUAAACCAAGAAUCUCUAAAACUCAAAAAUUUUUGAGUAUUGCCAACUUAUCCGGGUUUACAGUGUAAUACUGUCAUUUCAACACUAACAUUGUGCUUUUCUCUUUGAGCCUCUCCACCUUUUCUCCAGCAGGUAAGCCCACAGGUGUCACAGCUUUCAGAAAUAACAGUUCAUUGACCCUCAUAAAAGUGGUCUACUAAAUUCUGUUUUCUGUCUUUAUAGCGGGUUGACAUCCACAUUCAAAAGGAAGCAGUUGAAUGUGAGUUGUGUGUGUCUAUCGGGGAUUUUCAGCAGAACAUCAGUUAGAUAGACGCUCAGAACAUGAAGGUAAGUGUCUCUCAAGUUGAUGGAGGUGAGUAAUGAAGCAUUGUCAGGGACACACCGCUGCCUGUCAGUCGUGAUUCGUUUAGGUGGCAAUCUUGCGGAUUCUUACCAUUUCUCCAAGAUAAAUCUGAAAGAAGUUAAACCCACUUACUGUAAAUUGCUCUCUAUUCCGACAUCUAUUACACAUGUUGGCAGUUUUCUCUAUUUCCUUUUCUGCCAGAGAAGGAAACUCCCCUCAGAAACCACUGGCUUGCAGUUGGCAUUUAUUGGCGUUACGCUGACAGAAAGUUUGCAAUAGACCAAACCAGCUUGCCGAUCCAUGGUGAGGGACGAGUUACUUGGAAACGGGAACUGUGGAUCAUCUCUAUAAACAAGAUGGAUGCGGCAUUUAUCGAGAUCCCCUGAGAGCUGUGGGUUUGAUGUCUUCUUCAGGAAGUGACAUUUCCAUGUAACAUCUAAUGUGGUCCGGGAAGAGCGAGUGGACACUGUGACGGAAUAGGUGAGGGAUCAUGGACUAUCGCCUCUCUAAUCUCUACCUGUGACUGUAGCCGUGCGCUCCCACGCGGGGCGGCCUGUGACCCGGGAGAACAGUGGGGCGACCCCGGGGUGAGGCGUAUUUGGGAGAGAAAUUAGGAGGGAGACCGUUGACAGAGUCCUUCUAGCUUAUGUUAAGUUUCUGUCACUCUCGAUGUUCAAGUGCCUCCACUUCAGGGUGUGAGAGCUUAGCAGCACCGCUGAAAACGAGCGAGCGUGUCAUCGCCGCCAUUUUGUCUCACUGACCUUCCCUCUAAUGGGCAUAUGAAAAAGGGUGGUAUAAAACCUUUGCAUUUACACUGUGUAUGAAAGAGCUGUAUUAUGAGAACUUCAGAACUUUAUCCAACUUGUACAACUUUCUGACGUGAGAUCGAUGAAUGCAUCAACACAUGAACGCCCAUGCUUACUCAAAAACUCAUCCUGCAAGACAAAUUGAUACUAUAACCCAGAACACUAGAAGAACUGACAACAAGUGUGAGAUGUGUCGCAGACUGUA